rnacentral:rRNA from 1 species
UACGGAGGGGGCAAGCGCUGCUCGGAAUUAUUGGGCGUAAAGGGUAGGUAGGUGGUCUCAUUUGUCUGGGGUGAAAGCCUUGAGCUUAACUCAAGAAGUGCCCCAGAAACGGUGAGACUGGAGUCCUGGAGAGGGUCGUGGAAUUCCCGGUGUAGCGGUGAAAUGCGUAGAGAUCGGGAGGAACUCCAGAGGCGAAAGCGGCGACCUGGACAGGUACUGACACUCAACUACGAAAGCGUGGGGAGCAAACAGG